AUUGAACGCUGGCGGCAGGCUUAACACAUGCAAGUCGAGCGGGGUGAUGGUGCUUGCACUAUCACUUAGCGGCGAACGGGUGAGUAAUGCUUAGGGAUCUGCCUAUUAGUGGGGGACAACAUCUCGAAAGGGAUGCUAAUACCGCAUACGUCCUACGGGAGAAAGCAGGGGAUCACUUGUGACCUUGCGCUAAUAGAUGAGCCUAAGUCGGAUUAGCUAGUUGGUGGGGUAAAGGCCUACCAAGGCGACGAUCUGUAGCGGGUCUGAUAGGAUGAUCCGCCACACUGGUACUGAAACACGGCCCAGACUCCUACGGGAGGAAGCAGUGGGGAAUAUUGGACAAUGGGGGGAACCCUGAUCCAGCCAUGCAGCGUGUGUGAAGAAGGCCUUAUGGUUGUAAAGCACUUUAAGCGAGGAGGAGGCUCUUUUGGUUAAUACCCAGAAUGAGUGGACGUUACUCGCAGAAUAAGCACCGGCUAACUCUGUGCCAGCCGCCGCCGUAA
rnacentral:rRNA from 1 species